rnacentral:lncRNA from 1 species
GAGUGCUGGGUCGGGCUUCCAGCUCCCUACAACGCAGACCAGUACUGGAGUUCGUGGUGCUGGAAGACCGCCGCCCGACUCUGGGCCCCGGGUAGGAAACAACAAUUUCGGACCUCCUGGGGUCUAUGCUAGGUAUGAGGUGUAUCUUUGCCCUCCAUCAAGUAGCAAAGAUGGACAUGUAAACAAAUUUCGACACUGUGAUGACUGCCACAAAAAGCAGCAUUAUGAGGUUGAAUGUAAAAGGAUAACCUUAGCGGCGGCGGGGGCCGGAGGAUGAAGGAAGGCUUCCUGAGGUAGGCGCUGGUUGAAACUGAAGUUGGAGAGAGCAAGUGGCAUUUGCUGAAGUGCAUUUCCGGUAGAAAACUCCAGUGGUCCCUCACCUGACUGAGUGGCGCAGUCAGAGAUAAAUGGAACAGGUACACUGACCAGAAAGGGCAAGAUGGGCUAAACUUCGCCGUUGGGCCACUGGGCUCCCCCGCAGGAUUUUAAAGAGCUAGCCAGUAGAUGGAUUUUGUUUUUGUUAUUUUCGCAAUUUAUUUUCAAAUAUGUAAUACGCGAACUUGGUACAACAUUCAUGUGAUAAAAAGGUAGAUACGUGGGCAGGACGCGGUGGCUCACGCCUGUAAUCCCAGCAUUUUGGGAGGCCGAGAUGGGCGGAUCAUUUGCUGUCAGGAGUUCGAGACCAGCCUGGCCAACAUGAGUCUACAAAUAAACAUUUUAUAAAGAUGAUCCUUCAAUACAUAUUCUACAGCCCAGUUAAAAUGUGAGAGGCCAUGAUCUACAGACAGCCAUUUAUAAAGGUGGAUCAGGGCCGGACACGGUGGCUCAACGUCUGUAAUCCCGGCACUGUGGGAGGCCAAAGCGGGAGGAUCGCUUGAGCCCAGGAGUUCGAGACCAACCUGGCCAACAUGCUUUAUGUGAUUGACACAGACAUGGAAGAGAUCUGGUCCUUAUGAAGAAUUCUGUGCUCGCAGGAAAGAUCUGUAGGAAUAAUGAAAUGCUUUCUUCAUUGAUGAGAUGAAGUCUCUGUUUUUCAGGCAAGUUGACAGAACAAAACAAUGAGAAACGAACUUCUUUAGAAGGUUGAAUGAAAGUAAGAUCUAGAUGAAAAAGUCAUUGGCCAAAGAUAAUUUUUUAAAAAAAACAUUCUAUGUUAACCCUUGGAAAAAAAAACAAAAAACAACCCAGAGAAAUACAAGAAAACAAUGUACACAUUCAUUUCACUGACAGUUACAAGAAAAUAGCCGUUUAUAGAAGUUACACAAUGCUUUCAACAAAUCCCAAACAAAUUUUGGGAAACAGAUAAAGCCAUUGGGUAAAAAUAAAUAUACAUACUAGCUAAUAUAAAACAAUUUAUGGUUACGAAUUGUCAUCAAUUCUCUUAGGACACAAGGAGAAAUAUGGUGAUAUAAAUCUGAUGAGGGCUACAUAUAUUACAUGGAAUUAAAAAACAACUGAUUAAAACAUCCUAACAAUGAUACAAAUAUUUAAAAGAAUGUCUUAAAAGUCAGACAUUUACCACUGGAAAUAGCACGACUUUAAUAUGUACUCCAGAGUUGUAAUGUGUAUACAGGUCACUUUCGCUGUGUCUCAUCAGGUAUCCACCUCUCCUGCAUUUACUAGUCAGUUUUUUAAGAGUUCAUGUUUCCUGUGUGAGCUGAAGGGGCUGGGCACAUUUCAAUUUAAAAAAUACACACCUCCGAUUAACUAAAUGGAAGUUUUUUACAUCUACCAACAGAUAAAGAAAAGAGAGGAUAAUGGGAAGACAAAACAUUGUAUUAAGGUAGAAGGAAGCUGGAUAAAUUGUCUCUGUAAAUUAUCUUAAAUUUUGUAUUAACAAAUUUAAAAUGACUCAAAUAAAAUAACAAAGAAAAAUAUAUUAAUUUGGCCUCAAGGAAUUUUCUCAAGCCAUAAAAAAUUUUCUUAGUUUAUUUCUUUACGGAAGUAUCUUAUGCUUGAUCAGCUGACUUAAAGGAACUCUCCUAGUGUGGGACUGAAAACAACUUUAUCAUUGAUAAAAGAUGAUUAGUUUAAAAAGUUGGUUUUUAUUAUUGAAGUGCCCACAGGCACAAGAGUAUAGGUGCUUACAUUUCCCUUUAGAUUAUGGGAAAGCCCUUUUGAGAAUGCACUAAAUCAGGAAAUCUUUCAGCAAUCAGAAUGCAUGCUGAAAGUUCAGAUCUUUUAAGUUUUGGGUUUCGCUGUUUGAGCAUAAAAAGGAAGGGAGCAGGGAGAAAUGUAACUAGGUUCACAAUUUUGAGCAAGAGCAUAUGUAAAGGUAACGUAUGUACAUUUUAUUUCAAGAAAGACAGAAGACAAACAGCAUAAAGAUGCCCAGAUGCCCUAAAGAUAAAUACAUUUCAAAGAUUCUCAUUAAAAUGAAUCUGUAGUAUUUUUUUCCUGCAAGCAAAAUACCUUUCUUUAAAUAAAAUUAAAAAAAUCAGUAUUCUGAAUUGCAAAUGCUUUUGUUUUUUUUUUGCAGAAAAUCUGCCAUGAUUAUUUUUUUAAUGAAUAAGGAUUUUCCACAAAACAGGCUUGCUCUACAUGCUAGAUUUUUAAACAGUUCAGUGACACAAUAUGCUAACUACAUACACAACAGAUAAUAUAGUAAGAAAACACUCAACCUGAUGAAAAGUUAAAAUCUUCAUUAAUACACUGAAAAUUGACAUAACUCAUGCCUUUAAAAUCAAAAAUACAAAAAUU